UACGUAGGGGGCAAGCGUUGUUCGGAAUUAUUGGGCGUAAAGGGCGCGUAGGCGGUUCGGCAAGUCUCUAGUGAAAUCUCUGGGCUCAACUCAGAGUCUGCUGGGGAAACUGCCGGGCUUGAGUGUGGGAGAGGAGAGUGGAAUUCCGAGUGUAGAGGUGAAAUUCGUAGAUAUUCGGAAGAACACCCGUGGCGAAGGCGGCUCUCUGGGACGGUACUGACGCUGAGACGCGAAAGCGUGGGGAGCGAACAGG
rnacentral:rRNA from 1 species